rnacentral:rRNA from 1 species
UACAGAGGUGGCAAGCGUUGUUCGGAAUUACUGGGCGUAAAGGGCGCGUAGGCGGCCUACUAAGUCAGACGUGAAAUCCCCCGGCUCAACCUGGGAACUGCGUCCGAUACUGGAUGGCUUGAAUCCGGGAGAGGGAUGCAGAAUUCCAGGUGUAGCGGUGAAAUGCGUAGAUAUCUGGAGGAAUACCGGUGGCGAAGGCGGCAUCCUGGACCGGCAUUGACGCUGAGGAGCGAAAGCCAGGGGAGCAAACGGG